rnacentral:SRP_RNA from 1 species
GGGUCCUGCGCAAUGGGAAUCCAUGAACCAUGUCAGGUCCGGAAGGAAGCAGCAUUAAGUGGAACCUUCCAUGUGCCGCAGGGUUGCCUGGGCUGAGCUAACUGCUUAAGUAACGCUUAGGGUAGCGAAUCGACAGAAGGUGCACGG